GCCAGUGUGGCAUAGUGGUUUGAACACUGGACUAUGACUCUGGAGACCAGGGUUUGAUUCUCCACUUGGCCA
rnacentral:tRNA from 1 species